CGGGGCGUGGCGCAGUUUGGUAGCGCGUUGGUUUCGGGAAUCAAAGGCCGCAGGUUCGAAUCCUGUCGCCCCGA
rnacentral:tRNA from 1 species